UCCGGUUUGACACCGGCAGUCUCGCUAGAGUACCGCUUGCGCGGGCAACUAACGACAGGGGUUGCGCUCGUUAAAGGACUUAACCUGACACUUCACAGCACGAGCUGACGACAGCCAUGCAGCACCUGUGCUGGUUCCGGUCUUGCGACUGUGGCUCCACUUUCAUGGAGUUGAUCCCAGCAUGUCAAACCCAGGUAAGGUUCUUCGCGUUGCCUCGAAUUAAGCAACAUGCACCACCGCUUGUGUGAGCCCCCGUCAAUUCAUUUGAGUUUUAGCCUUGCGACCGUACUCCCCAGGCGGUACGCUUAAUGGUUUUCCUACGACCGAUACGGCGUCAAAACCGCACCGGUCCAGCGUACAUCGUUUACGGCGUGGACUAC
rnacentral:misc_RNA from 1 species